UUCAACUAGGUGUCUCCCUGGUGAAGCGUCAGAUUGGCAAAUCCAGCAGUGUGUGUCCUUCUGACUUCCCAACAAGCUACCAGAGUAUUGUGAAAGAAGAAACACUGUUGUCGAAGGCUGCUGAUAUUGCCUAUUAGCCAGAAGAAAGAACCUGAAUCAUUCAAAGGUUUUCCAUCUGGCAAAGAAGUCCAGAAGUACUGGACCGUCUGCCUAGAUCUGCAUGUGCUAAGUAUCCAAGUAAGUUGGAGCAACAUAUCAACGGCAACCAGUGAAGAAAUGAAAGUUCAUCAGCUAAAAACUUUGGAGUUAGACAUAUGGAAAGCCCGUCCUAAGGGAAGAAUCAGAGGAGAAGGGAUACAAGACCCCAGGAGCACACCCAGCGCCUUAAUAUGCAUGCUUCGUCUCUCUAAAAUGGUGGAACCUGUUUGUUUACCUGUCUGUAGCAGACACAGGAGUUGUCCUCACACUGUGCGUCCUGACUUCCACAGGAAUUUGAGUUGUAGCUGCAAUGCAGCUACCAACCAGGGAUACAGUUUCUCAGCCCCACGCCUUGCACCUACAGCUAAGUGUGGCCUUGUGACUGGUUUUCAUCAAUUAAGUAUGAAUAGAAACAAAGUGCACCACCUUCAUUUGGAGGCUUCGAAGAAGCAAGGGUACCCUUCAUUUGCUCUCUUUCGCCUUGUGCUGGGGGGAUACAGAUGA
rnacentral:lncRNA from 1 species